rnacentral:rRNA from 1 species
UACAGAGGUCCCAAGCGUUGUUCGGAUUCAUUGGGCGUAAAGGGUGCGUAGGCGGCGCGGUAAGUCGGGUGUGAAAUCUCGGGGCUUAACUCCGAAACUGCAUUCGAUACUGCCGUGCUUGAGGACUGGAGAGGAGACUGGAAUUUACGGUGUAGCGGUGAAAUGCGUAGAUAUCGUGAGGAAGACCAGUGGCGAAGGCGGAUCUCUGGACAGUUCCUGACGCUGAGGCGCGAAGGCCAGGGGAGCAAACGGG